GUGAGGAAUAUUGGUCAAUGGAGGCAACUCUGAACCAGCCAAGUCGCGUGAAGGAUGAAGGUCUUAUGGAUUGUAAACUUCUUUUGCAAGGGAAUAAAGUGGGGGACGUGUCCUCCUUUGCAUGUACCUUGCGAAUAAGGAUCGGCUAACUCCGUGCCAGCAGCCGCGGUAAUACGGAGGAUCCGAGCGUUAUCCGGAUUUAUUGGGUUUAAAGGGUGCGCAGGCAGGAUGUUAAGUCGGCGGUGAAAUUUUGCAGCUCAACUGUAAAAGUGCCUUCGAUACUGGCUUUCUUGAGUGUGGAUGAAGUAGGCGGAAUUUGUGGUGUAGCGGUGAAAUGCUUAGAUAUCACGAGGAACUCCGAUUGCGCAGGCAGCUUACUAAACCACUACUGACGCUCAUGCACGAAGGCGUGGGGAUCAAACAGGAUUAGAAACCCCUGUAGUCC
rnacentral:rRNA from 1 species